rnacentral:rRNA from 1 species
CCUACGGGAGGCAGCAGUGGGGGAUAUUGCACAAUGGGGGGAACCCUGAUGCAGCGACGCCGCGUGGGUGAAGAAGCGCCUCGGCGCGUAAAGCCCUGUCAGCAGGGAAGAAAAUGACGGUACCUGCAGAAGAAGCACCGGCUAAGUACGUGCCAGCAGCCGCGGGAAUACGUAGGGGGCAAGCGUUAUCCGGAUGUACUGGGUGGAAAGGGGGCGCAGACGGCGAUGCAAGCCAGGAGUGAAAGCCCGGGGCCCAACCCCGGGACUGCUCUUGGAACUGCGUGGCUGGAGUGCAGGAGGGGCAGGCGGAAUUCCUGGUGUAGCGGUGAAAUGCGUAGAUAUCAGGAGGAACACCGGUGGCGAAGGCGGCCUGCUGGACUGCAACUGACGUUGAGGCCCGAAAGCGUGGGGAGCAAACAGGAUUAGAUACCCGAGUAGUC